rnacentral:rRNA from 1 species
UGGGGAAUAUUGGGCAAUGGGCGCAAGCCUGACCCAGCAACGCCGCGUGAGGGAAGAAGGUUUUCGGAUUGUAAACCUCUGUCGCAGAAGACGAAGGAAGUGACGGUAAUCUGUGAGGAAGCCCCGGCUAACUACGUGCCAGCAGCCGCGGUAAUACGUAGGGGGCAAGCGUUAUCCGGAUUUACUGGGUGUAAAGGGAGCGUAGACGGUUGAUCAAGUCUGAUGUGAAAGCCCGGGGCUCAACCCCGGGACUGCAUUGGAAACUGAACAGCUGGAGUGCAGGAGAAGUAAGUGGAAUUCCUAGUGUAGCGGUGAAAUGCGUAGAUAUUAGGAGGAACACCAGUGGCGAAGGCGGCUUACUGGACUGUAACUGACGUUGAGGCUCGAAAGCGUGGGGAGCAAACA